rnacentral:lncRNA from 1 species
CUGGGCUCUGUUCUGAGCUGUACAGGGAGAUGUGCAGAUGAGAACUGACCAAAAAUGGAAAAGGAGGAUGAGCUCACUGGGCAGAAGGAAAAAAAAAACCCCAACAUUUCAUUGGAAGAAGUUUUCCAGAGAGUGUGUGGAAUUCCCUGCUUGUGGGAUUCAAAGAUCUACUUGUUCUGACCCAGCUUUUGGAGUUCCCCUCUGAUGUGAAUGAUUUCAUCUUUGGAGGACCUUAGAAAUAGUCAUGAAUUCCUGCUGGGUUCAUUUUUGUCUGCACCAGCCUUUCACUCAUUUGUCUCUCAACACUUUGCUCUCCACGUGUCCCAGAAGAGUCCUCCAGCUCUUCCCUGAGUCUGGGAAUUCUGACCAGUGUGUUCUGCCACUGGAAAUCCCUCACCCUUCCAAAUCCAGACUUCAGCUGUGCUCUGUGGUGCUCAUCCUCAUCACCCUUCCAGGACUGUCAAAGAUCACCCCAGAAAUGAUGGAGAUUGCUUAAUUAACAAAGCCCUGACCUUGGAGAAGAUAAACAAGUCAGCGUGUGGAAGCUGGAGAAAGAAAAGUGUUCUGUUAUUACAUUUUCCUUACUUUGUUCCAAUUACUUUUGUAGCUGUUCCAAAUGCUUCACUGUAGCAUUGAAAUUAUUGGAUUUGAUGCUACCACAGUGGAAUAGGAUUCUGGAAUAAAUCCCAUUUUAAAAAACA